rnacentral:rRNA from 1 species
UACGUAGGGGGCAAGCGUUGUCCGGAUUUAUUGGGCGUAAAGGGCGCGUAGGCGGCCUGUUAAGUCGAACGUGAAAUCCCCGGGCUCAACCCGGGAACUGCGUCCGAUACUGGCAGGCUUGAAUCCGGGAGAGGGAUGCGGAAUUCCAGGUGUAGCGGUGAAAUGCGUAGAUAUCUGGAGGAACACCGGUGGCGAAGGCGGCAUCCUGGACCGGUAUUGACGCGUGAGGCGCGAAAGCCAGGGGAGCAAAGCGGG